UUUUCCACUGGAGCCAAAGCCACAUUUCUGUUAACGAUUACUCCGCUAAUUGCAGAAUUUAUGAAUUUCUUGUACACGAAUUUCGGGGCUGCUAUAAACAACGAGGGUUUGAGUGGAAAAAGUUGGCCUGAACUUCUCAAAGAAUUUUUCCACCUUGUCAACGAAUGGAAAAUCAUCGCCGUACAACCUUGAAGCCGGACUCGCAUGGCCGGAAAUAUUUCAGUUUCCGGUAAUAGUGAUCCAAUAACGCGAGAGCAUCACUGAUGGACUUUGCACCAUUAACUGUGAUCUUGCCGUUGCGGUACACUUGGCAGUGCGAUUUGUAAGGACGAAUGGAACGGAGAAGAAGCCCGGAAAAUUUAUGUGGUGCAUAAUGAGAAAGCGGAGCGCGUUCGGAUAAGCUGGGGAUUUGAUGGAUACUUCAUUUUGAAUUAUCUCGUGAAAAACGGCGUUAUUCCACGUCCGCUUAUUUUCAACGGGAGCAAGGUUAUGCAGAUGGACGUGCCCAAACUCAAAAUAAAAUUUCGUGACUCUAUGAACUAUGUACCAUCAUCGUUAAAAAAUUUUGCGAAAGCAUUUGGUUUGCAAGAAACCAAAGGAGAUUUCCCACACAAACUUAAUAAGCCUGAAAACUGGAAUAAAAUAAUUGCUUGGCCCGAUCGUCAUGACUAUGGCUAUCAGUCUAUGAAAAGAAAGAACGAAAGCGCUUCAUGAAAUGGUACCGCAAAGAGCGACGCCGUCACAGGAACAAAUUCGACUUUAAUGCACACUUUAUCAAGUAUUGCUCACAAGAUGUCCUCAUUUUGCAACAAGCGUGCGAAAAAUUUCGAGCGCUUUUCCAACAGGUAACCGAUGGAUUAUGCCCAUUUGCGUCUGGACUAACCACACCCGGCAUGUGCAAUUACUUUUGGAGAGCGCGAAUGCUGAAGGAAAACCAAAUUGCGUUGAUCGGCCCUCCUGGUCAGGGCAAAAAGUCAUCUGUCAAAGGAGAGCGUUGGCUACGCUGGAUUGAAAUGGAAAAUGAUGUAAAAUUGCAAAAAGAGCAUCGAAUCGGUCACUGGACUGUGGAUGGUUUUGAUCGGGAUACAAAAACCGCUUACGAGUUUUUAGGAUGUAUGUGGCACGGCUGCAGCGAAUGCACAACAAAAAGCACGCUGCAUCCCUUUCUGAAACGGCCAAUGGAGGAAGUCAACAAAGCAACUGCCUUACGCCUUGAAGCUAUCAAAACUAUGGGCUAUUCCGUAGUUUCGAUCUGGGAACACGACUAUGAUAGCCGGCUCACUACUGACCUGGAAUUUCAGAAAAUAAUUCAGUUGACCGGUAUUGAAGAACCUAUGCACCCCGAGACGCAUUUACUGGUGGCAGGACAAACGCUAUCAAGUUGUACCACAAGUGCGAUCCUGGAGAAAAAAUCUAUUCGCUCGACGUUAUCAGCGAAUACCCUUAUAUUAACAAAAAUCUACCUUAUCCGGUGGGACCGCCUGUUAUCAUUACUAAAGAUUUUCCGCCUGUGGAGAGUAUUUUUGGAAUAAUUAAAUGUCGCGUCAUUCCUCCACCGUCGUUGUUUUUACCGGUGCUACCUUACAAAACUGAUAAACUGACUUUUCCUUUAUGCGCUAAAUGCGUGACGGAACGCGUAAACGAACCAUGUUCUCACGAUGAUGAGGACAGGGCUCUGGAAGGAACUUGGUGCACUCCAGAAAUUCAUCGAGCAUUAGAAGUUGGCUAUCGUAUCGAUAAAAUAUACUCGGCUUGGCACUAUCCAGAACAAAUGCAGUAUUUAUUCAGAGAAUACAUUGACCUGUUUUUGAAGCUGAAAACGGAAGCUUCUGGAUAUCCACCACAGUGUCAAACGGAAGAUGAAAAAGACAGAUAUAUUCAAGAAUUCCUUGCUAAAGAAAAUAUUCUACUGGAUAAAAAGAAUAUUGCGAAAAACGACGCAUUGAGAGCUCUUUGCAAGCUUAUGCUAAAUAGUUUUUGGGGAAAAUUUGGUCAACAGGAAGACCGAUCCAACACGGAUAUGGUGGAAAAGAAAGAGGUAUUCCAUGAUUACUUGUUUUCUAACAAGUACGAAGUCGCCGGGUUCGAUUUGGUCACCGAUGAAGUUAUGGCAGUUCAAUACCGCUCCAAGAAGGACUACAUUGCGACGAGCAAAAAAGACCAAUGUUGUUAUCGCAGCUUUUACGACUGCGUACGCACGGCUACACUUAUUAAAAUUCAUGGAAAUGGUUGGAGACCGUUUGUUAUACCACGAUACAGACAGCAUUUUCUACAUCCAUAGAGACGAUUUGCCCGAUCCACCAACGGGAACGUGCUUGGGUGAUUUGUCCUCGUCUUUACAGCCUGACGAGUACAUUGACGAAUUUGUAGCGCUUGGACCAAAAAGCUAUGCUUACCAGACAAAUACUGGAUGUGAAACGAUAAAAGUCAAGGAAUUUACGUUGACACGGCAAGCGAAAAAACAGCUAAACCUGGAAAGCCUGAAAGAGAUGCUACUGGAAAGCCUGGCACCACCGGACCAGCCAAGCGGAAUUACCGUGAAUUAUCCGUUCAACAUAACACGCAAUAAGCGCAAGCUGGAAGUUUCGUCGGCGGAAAUUAACAAACGAUUUAAACUUACUUACUCAAAACGUAGAAUUGUUGACUCUGAUUUUAACACUCGCCCAUGGGGUGAUGUUUCGAUUGAGUAAAUCAUCAACUUCCAGUGCGGUGCAAUUGUUAAUAAAGGUCCUGACACUGUGGCUUGCUCCGAAAAAUGCUUCCAGCAGUAUUAUAAGAAUUAACAUAACAAUAAUGCAAGUCCCCACCACGGCUUCGCAAAAGUUUUUUUUACACACAAUGCGCGCCAUUGUAACAAAAGUCACUUGUUUUUUUUUUCUAGAUUUUAUGCGUUCCGUGGUGCCUUUAAUACUUACUUCCUCCCGAAAGACUGUAAUUAGUUAACUAUUGUAUAA